rnacentral:rRNA from 1 species
CAGAGACUGCAAGCGUUACUCGGAUUCACUGGGCGUAAAGGGAGCGCAGGCGGAAUCGUGUGUCGGAUGUGAAACCCGGGGGCUCAACUCCCGGACUGCGUCUGAAACUGCGAUUCUAGGGACUCGGAGGGGCUAGUGGAAUUCUUGGUGGAGCAGUGAAAUGCGUAGAUAUCAAGAGGAACACCAACGGCGAAGGCAGCUAGCUGGACGAGAUCCGACGCUCAGGCUCGAAAGUAUGGGGAGCAAAGAGGAUUAGAUACCCUUGUAGUCCAUACUGUAAACGAUGUCGACUAGGUCUUGGGGCAUUCGAACGCCCCAGGGCUCAAGCUAACGCAAUAAGUCGACCGCCUGAGGACUACGGUCGCAAGACUA